CUGCUGCCUUCCGUAGGAGUCUGGUCCGUGUCUCAGUACCAGUGUGGGGGACCUUCCUCUCAGAACCCCUACGCAUCGUCGCCUCGGUGGGCCGUUACCCCGCCGACUAGCUAAUGCGCCGCAUGGCCAUCCGCAGCCGAUGAAUCUUUAACCGCCGAGGGAUGCCCCUCUGCGGUGUUACGCGGUAUUAGACGGAAUUUCUUCCGCUUAUCCCCCUGCUGCGGGCAGGUUCCAUACGUGUUACUCACCCGUGCGCCGGUCGG
rnacentral:rRNA from 1 species